rnacentral:rRNA from 1 species
UACGUAGGGGGCAAGUGUUGUCCGGAAUCAUUGGGCGUAAAGAGCGUGUAGGCGGUUCAGUAAGUCUGCUGUGAAAGUCCAAGGCUCAACCUUGGGAUGCCGGUGGAUACUGCUGAGCUAGAGUACGGAAGAGGCGAGUGGAAUUCCCGGUGUAGCGGUGAAAUGCGCAGAUAUCGGGAGGAACACCUAUUGCGAAGGCAGCUCGCUGGGACGUCACUGACGCUGAGACGCGAAAGCGUGGGGAGCAAACAGG